AGAUGUGCCUCCCACAAAUCUUGUUACAACUCAGCACAUUACCUGUCUGAGG
rnacentral:snoRNA from 1 species